GGGCGAACGCUGGCGGCGGGCCUAACACAUGCAAGUCGUACGCGGGGUUCUCCUUCGGGAGAACUGCCGAGUGGCGAACGGGUGCGUAACGCGUAGGUAACCUGCCCUCGAGUGGGGGAUAACUCCGGGAAACCGGGGCUAAUACCGCAUAUUGUCCCGGGACCGCAUGGCUCCGGGAUGAAAGCCCUCUGGCGCUCGAGGAUGGGCCUGCGUCGGAUUAGCUAGUUGGUGGGGUAACGGCCCACCAAGGCGACGAUCCGUAGCUGGUCUGAGAGGACGACCAGCCACACUGGCACUGAGACACGGGCCAGACUCCUACGGGAGGCAGCAGUGGGGAAUCUUGGGCAAUGGGCGAAAGCCUGACCCAGCCACGCCGCGUGGAGGAUGAAGCCCUUCGGGGUGUAAACUCCUUUUCUGGGGGAAGAAAUCCCGGCUAUGGUCGGGACUGACGGUACCCCAAGAAUAAGCGCCGGCUAACUUCGUGCCAGCAGCCGCGGUAAUACGGAGGGCGCAAGCGUUGCCCGGAAUCACUGGGUGUAAAGGGUGCGUAGGCGGGGCUGUAAGUCAGAGGUGAAAGCCCCCGGCUCAACCGGGGAAUUGCCUCUGAUACUGCAGC
rnacentral:rRNA from 1 species